rnacentral:lncRNA from 1 species
CAAUCCACAAUUUCUCCAAACGUUGCAGAAAGUCAAUUACCAAGACUCAAUUGCAUUAAAUAGUUUAUCUCUUUCUUCAAUCCACAAUUUAUCCAUCAUGUCUUGAUCACGGUAAGAUGUGAUUUUUGGUUUUUCAGGUUUUAUUUAUUUAUCUUUAUUUUGGCAAUUGAAAUAAAUUAUAUCUCCAAUUGUAACAAAUAAAUAAAUAAGACCUGAAAAAAAUAAUUGACUUUUGUGCUAAUGUUUCUCAAUUUUUUGGAAUAAUUAACGUUUGGAAACAUAUAUGAUAAAGAUUAUUCUCUUUGCAACAUUUUCAAAGCAUCUAGCUUGUAGUAUACAGUGGAUUUUGUCUCCAUUUCGACACAAAUAUGCCUAAAGGCUAAAGGUCCGUAUUUUUCUCAUUAUUUUGUUUACAUUUAGUAAUUGUUAAUGGUUAACAGUUUGCAUCUUACCCUCUUUCCCUUUCAUAUCAUUUAUCCAAGGAAACUGUUAAAUUGUGGGCUAUAAUUGUAUUUGGCUUUAACACGUCUGAGUUAUACAUUUCCAUCCAUGUUUUUGAUCUCGCUAGUUUUGACGCAAUUUAUUGCUUAGUUUUGUUCCUAUCAAUUAGAGCCCCAUAUCACAUUCUGUUGUUUAAAACGUGUCGUUUUUGUGCAGAUUGUUAUACUAGAAUGGAGUUCUUCUCGAGAGACUUGAAAGAAAAAUCUUCAUCGAGGGCAUUAUUAGCCUUAAUGACUAAACUAAAAUUUCAAGAGAAAGGCUUUAACUCUUUGAACAGCAAGAAAAAAAAUUUCAAGUUGCUCUUCCAGAACACAUCCCAAAGUUGAAGCAGUGAUCAACCAAAGUGUUGUUAUACCAUGCUAGCAGCAAGGUUUUACACUCAAGGUCAGUAGUUAUCUUUAUCUUGCUUGCCAUUUUAGUCUGUCUCAAGCCUUUCUGUUGGGUUAUAAAUGAUGGGGCUGCUAUAGAUGUUUAGUCGACUCAAGCUAGAUAUAUGAUAUACUUCUGAGCAACCUCCUUUUAUCUAGAUAAUGUUUUUGUGGUGGAGUUGAAGUUUGAGAUGUCAAGAUAUUACAUCUUUUUUAUCAACUUACUUAUUUUUCUUUGCUUUUCUUCUCGAUUAUAAUUGGUACAAAUGCCUAAAAUGUGGUAUCCAUCUUUAUCUUCUUUUUUCAUAAGCCAGGACCAAUAAUAAAGGUAUAGCUCGUCGAAAAUUGUUGAGAAGAAAGUUAAUGUGGCUGAUAGGGUGGUUUUACUCACUACUUAGUUUUUUUUUAUUGGAUUUUUAGGUGUGUUAGAAUUUUGGAUCUAAAUUUUGUAUGGAUAUUGUUACAUUUUGG